GAGUUUGCUCCUGGCUCAGAACGUACGCUGGCGGCACGCCUAACACAUGCAAGUCGAACGAAGUAGCAAUACUUAGUGGCAGACGGGUGAGUAACAUGUAGGUAUCUGCCCUUUGGCCUGGAAUAACACGAGGAAACUUGUGCUAAUACCGGAUAAGUCUUUACGGAGAAAGCUUUAUGCACCAUUGGAUGAGCCUGCACUUGAUUAGUUUGUUGGUAGGGUAAUGGCCUACCAAGACUUUGAUCAAUAGCUGAUUUGAGAGGAUGAUCAGCCACAUUGGGACUGAGACACGGCCCAAACUCCUACGGGAGGCAGCAGUGGGGAAUCUUGCACAAUGGAGGAAACUCUGAUGCAGCGAUGCCGCGUGAGUGAAGAAGGCCUUUGGGUUGUAUAUCUCUUUCGUCGGCCCAGAAAAUGACUGUACCCGAAUAAGAAGGUCCGGCUAACUUCGUGCCAGCAGCCGCGGUAAUACGAAGGGACCUAGCGUAGUUCGGAAUUACUGGGCUUAAAGAGUUCGUAGGUGGUUGAAAAAGUUGGUGGUGAAAUCCCAGAGCUUAACUCUGGAACUGCCAUCAAAACUUUUCAGCUAGAGUUUGAUAGAGGAAAGCAGAAUUUCUAGUGUAGAGGUGAAAUUCGUAGAUAUUAGAAAGAAUACCAAUUGCGAAGGCAGCUUUCUGGAUCAUUACUGACACUGAGGAACGAAAGCAUGGGUAGCGAAGAGGAUUAGAUACCCUCGUAGUCCAUGCCGUAAACGAUGUGUGUUAGACGUUGGAAAUUUAUUUUCAGUGUCGCAGCGAAAGCGAUAAACACACCGCCUGGGGAGUACGACCGCAAGGUUAAAACUCAAAUGAAUUGACGGGGACCCGCACAAGUAGUGGAGCAUGUGGUUUAAUUCGAAGAUACGCGCAGAACCUUACCAACACUUGACAUGUUCGUCGCGACUCUAAGAGAUUAGAGUUUUCGGUUCGGCCGGACGAAACACAGGUGCUGCAUGGCUGUCGUCAGCUCGUGUCGUGAGAUGUUGGGUUAAGUCCCGCAACGAGCGCAACCCUCACUUUUAGUUGCCAUCAUUAAGUUGGGCACUCUGAAAGAACUGCCAGUGAUAAGCUGGAGGAAGGUGGGGAUGACGUCAAGUCCUCAUGGCCCUUACGUGUUGGGCUACACACGUGCUACAAUGGUAUCUACAACAGGAAGCAAGACUGCGAGGUUAAGCAAAUCCUUAAAAGAUACCUCAGUUCGGAUUGCACUCUGCAACUCGAGUGCAUGAAGCUGGAAUUACUAGUAAUCGUGGAUCAGCGUGCCACGGUGAAUGCGUUCCCGGGUCUUGUACACACCGCCCGUCACACCAUGGGAGUUGGUUCUACCUUAAGGCAAGGUUUAAAACCCUUGACCACGGUAUAGUCAGCGACUGGGGUGAAGUCGUAACAAGGUA
rnacentral:rRNA from 2 species